rnacentral:lncRNA from 1 species
UUAACCUCUGCCCUCAUCGACCCCCCGUCUGGCAAUCCCGAGGGAGAACCAGUCUCUGAAAACACCCCACCUCCAAACGUGCCGCUCAAGUGGCAUUCUCCAGAACCACGCAGCCCUGUGAAGGGCUCGUGCCGAGGGGCUCCCCCACGCUCCAGGCGUCUACAGGGCGCUACUGAACUUGGUCGACCUAAGCGGUCCGGGCGAGAACACACGAAAAGAUCACGGGGAUUCCCGCCAGCGGAGGUCUCUGGGCCGGGCUCUCCAGAACCGCUGGUCCCAGCCCACCCCCCUCCUCCCCACCGCCUCCGGCCGCAGAUUUCGGCCGGGGCCUGUCUCGAGUGGGAAACCACCCGCAACGGAGCAGAAACAGGUCCCCCAGGGGCUCUGGAGGGAAACGAGGGCGCUCCGGGGUCCACGCGUCCGGCAGAGGGCCGGCCAAGGAGGCGGGCUGGGGCGGGGCCAGCAAAGUCCACCCGGGCUACUGGCUGGUUUCGCCUGCGGUCGCCGGGAGGGACCCAGGGGCUACGGGGCGCUGGCCACGGCAGGUGUGGGGUCCCACUGCCCCCAGCUCCCGCGCACACUCGCGCCCCCCGCCCGUCCCCACGCCUGCACGGGACUGCGAGCACGUGCCCUCAGCCCGGAAGGCGUCCCAACCGCUCCGCGCAGGUGCGCGCGCCAGGGCCGGGCACGUCCGGCCCAGGGGGCACCUGGCCGGGCGAGGGAAGACCAGCCGGGGACGGAGCGUGCGCAGUGGCGAGGGCGAGGCCAAGUGCGGGCAAGGAGCAUGCGCAGUGUGAAGGCACAAUCGGCUACGUGGGAGCCUGGGGCAUGCUCGGUGAGAGCCCGGACCCGGCGCACGCGCAGAAGCGCUCGGAACCCGCAACCCGCUGGUGGAGAGAAAAAAGAGGAGAGAAAUCACCUCAGAGUUACGUCAGGAAAGGCCGCGUUUUGCGAGGAGGCUGUGGCCUCCCGCGGGGCCCCGCAGUUCUUCUAGGGCGAGGGGCGUGA